GAUGAACGCUGGCGGCGUGCUUAACACAUGCAAGUCGAACGAUGAAGCCCAGCUUGCUGGGUGGAUUAGUGGCGAACGGGUGAGUAACACGUGAGUAACCUGCCCUUAACUCUGGGAUAAGCCUGGGAAACUGGGUCUAAUACCGGAUAGGAGCGUCCACCGCAUGGUGGGUGUUGAAAGAUUUAUCGGUUUUGGAUGGACUCGCGGCCUAUCAGCUUGUUGGUGAGGUAAUGGCUCACCAAGGCGACGACGGGUAGCCGGCCUGAGAGGGUGACCGGCCACACUGGGACUGAGACACGGCCCAGACUCCUACGGGAGGCAGCAGUGGGGAAUAUUGCACAAUGGGCGAAAGCCUGAUGCAGCGACGCCGCGUGAGGGAUGACGGCCUUCGGGUUGUAAACCUCUUUCAGUAGGGAAGAAGCGAAAGUGACGGUACCUGCAGAAGAAGCACCGGCUAACUACGUG
rnacentral:rRNA from 1 species